UACGAAGGGGGCUAGCGUUGCUCGGAAUCACUGGGCGUAAAGCGCACGUAGGCGGAUUGCUAAGUCAGGGGUGAAAUCCUGGAGCUCAACUCCAGAACUGCCUUCGAUACUGGCGAUCUCGAGUCCGGGAGAGGUGAGUGGAACUGCGAGUGUAGAGGUGAAAUUCGUAGAUAUUCGCAAGAACACCAGUGGCGAAGGCGGCUCACUGGCCCGGAACUGACGCUGAGGUGCGAAAGCGUGGGGAGCAAACAGG
rnacentral:rRNA from 1 species